rnacentral:rRNA from 1 species
GACGAACGCUGGCGGCGUGCUUAACACAUGCAAGUCGAGCGGAGCGGCGAACGGGUGAGUAACGGAUGAGUAACUGCCCCCCUCCCUGGGAUAACAGUUGGAAACGGCUGCCAAUACCGGAUAGUGGGGGAUGACUCGCGUCCUAUCAGCUUGUUGGUGGGGUAGGGGCCUACCAAGGCGACGACGGGUAGCCGGCCUGGGCGGGCGACCGGCCACAUUUGGCUGAGAUACGGCCCAAACUCCUACGGGAGGCAGCAGUGGGAAUAUUGCACAAUGGGGGAAACCCUGAUGCAUAAACGCCGCGUGCGGGAUGACGGCCUUCGGGUUGUGAACCGCUUUCGGCCAUGACGCGGUAGUGGCAGAAGAAGCACCGGCUAACUACGUGCCAGCAGCCGCGGUAAUAC